rnacentral:rRNA from 1 species
GUGGUUUGUCGCGUUGUUCGUGAAAUCUCACGGCUUAACUGUGAGCGUGCGGGCGAUACGGGCAGACUUGAGUACUGCAGGGGAGACUGGAAUUCCUGGUGUAGCGGUGGAAUGCGCAGAUAUCAGGAGGAACACCGGUGGCGAAGGCGGGCCUCUGGGCAGUAACUGACGCUGAGGAGCGAAAGCGUGGGGAGCGAACAGGAUUAGAUACCCUGGUAGUCCACGCCGUAAACGGUGGGUACUAAGUGUGGGUUUCCUUCCUUGGGAUCCGUGCCGUAGCUAACGCAUUAAGUACCCCGCCUGGGGAGUACGGCCGCAAGGCUAAGAACUCAGAAGAAAUUGACGGGGGCCCGGCACAAGCGGCGGAGCAUGUGGAUUAAUUCGAUGCAACGCGAAGAACCUUACCUGGGUCUGACAUGCACAGGACGCCGGCAGAGAUGUCGGUUCCCUUGUGGCCUGUGUGCAGGUGGUGCAUGGCUGUCGUCAGCUCGUGUCGUGAGAUGUUGGGUUAAGUCCCGCAACGAGCGCAACCCUUGUCUCAUGUUGCCAGCGGGUAAUGCCGGGGACUCGUGAGAGACUGCCGGGGUCAACUCGGAGGAAGGUGGGGAUGACGUCAAGUCAUCAUGCCCCUUAUGUCCAGGGCUUCACACAUGCUACAAUGGCCGGUACAAAGGGCUGCGAUGCCGCGAGGUUAAGCGAAUCCUUUUAAAGCCGGUCUCAGUUCGGAUCGGGGUCUGCAACUCGACCCCGUGAAGUCGGAGUCGCUA